rnacentral:rRNA from 1 species
AUUGAACGCUGGCGGCAUGCUUUACACAUGCAAGUCGAACGGCAGCACGGGGGCAACCCUGGUGGCGAGUGGCGAACGGGUGAGUAACACAUCGGAACGUGCCCAGUUGUGGGGGAUAACCUAUCGAAAGGUAGGCUAAUACCGCAUGAGCUCGGCAAGAGGAAAGCGGGGGACUCAGCGAUGGGCCUCGCGCGACUGGAGCGGCCGAUGUCCGAUUAGCUUAGNGGGUAGGGGUAAAGGCUUACCAAGGCGACGAUCGGUAGCUGGUCUGAGAGGAUGAUCAGCCACACUGGGACUGAGAC